UCUGGCUAUCUCACGAGACUGU
rnacentral:miRNA from 1 species